rnacentral:rRNA from 1 species
UGCAGUCGAGCGGAUGAAGGGAGCUUGCUCCUGGAUUCAGCGGCGGACGGGUGAGUAAUGCCUAGGAAUCUGCCUGGUAGUGGGGGAUAACGUCCGGAAACGGGCGCUAAUACCGCAUACGUCCUGAGGGAGAAAGUGGGGGAUCUUCGGACCUCACGCUAUCAGAUGAGCCUAGGUCGGAUUAGCUAGUUGGUGGGGUAAAGGCCUACCAAGGCGACGAUCCGUAACUGGUCUGAGAGGAUGAUCAGUCACACUGGAACUGAGACACGGUCCAGACUCCUACGGGAGGCAGCAGUGGGGAAUAUUGGACAAUGGGCGAAAGCCUGAUCCAGCCAUGCCGCGUGUGUGAAGAAGGUCUUCGGAUUGUAAAGCACUUUAAGUUGGGAGGAAGGGCAGUAAGUUAAUACCUUGCUGUUUUGACGUUACCAACAGAAUAAGCACCGGCUAACUUCGUGCCAGCAGCCGCGGUAAUACGAAGGGUGCAAGCGUUAAUCGGAAUUACUGGGCGUAAAGCGCGCGUAGGUGGUUCAGCAAGUUGGAUGUGAAAUCCCCGGGCUCAACCUGGGAACUGCAUCCAAAACUACUGAGCUAGAGUACGGUAGAGGGUGGUGGAAUUUCCUGUGUAGCGGUGAAAUGCGUAGAUAUAGGAAGGAACACCAGUGGCGAAGGCGACCACCUGGACUGAUACUGACACUGAGUGCGAAAGCGUGGGGAGCAAACAGGAUUAG